GACGAACGCUGGCGGCGUGCCUAAUACAUGCAAGUCGAGCGAAUCAAUGGGAGCUUGCUCCCUGAGAUUAGCGGCGGACGGGUGAGUAACACGUGGGUAACCUGCCCGUAAGACUGGGAUAACUUCGGGAAACCGGAGCUAAUACCGGAUACGUUCUUUUCUCGCAUGAGAAGAGAUGGAAAGAUGGUUCUGCUAUCACUUACAGGUGGACCCGCGGCGCAUUAGCUAGUUGGUGAGGUAACGGCUCACCAAGGCGACGAUGCGUAGCCGACCUGAGAGGGUGAUCGGCCACACUGGGACUGAGACACGGCCCAGACUCCUACGGGAGGCAGCAGUAGGGAAUCUUCCGCAAUGGACGAAAGUCUGACGGAGCAACGCCGCGUGAGCGAAGAAGGCCUCCGGGUCGUAAAGCUCUGUUGUUAGGGAAGAACAAGUACGAGAGUAACUGCUCGUACCUUGACGGUACCUAACCAGAAAGCCACGGCUAACUACGUGCCAGCCGCCGCAGUAA
rnacentral:rRNA from 1 species